ensembl:snRNA U6 U6 spliceosomal RNA
AUGCUUGCUUCAGCAGCACAUAUACUAAAAUUGGAACAAUACAAAGAAGAUUAGUAUGGACCCUGCCCAAGGAUGACACCCAAAUCAUGAAACAUUCCAUAUAAAA